UGGGCUUGCAAAGCUGGCUUUGCCUUAGUUUGGUUCUUGUUAGCUCCUCCCUAAAAGGUGGAGUUUCUCACGAGACUUCCAUAAAGAGGGAGAGAGGGUAAAGGUGCCCUUCUCCAGGAGGGGUUCCUGACUUGUCAAUAGAGGGAGACAUACCCCUAACAAGAGAGGAGGCAACAGAGCGUAGUUCAUAGCCACGAUUGCUGUUUACAGUCUUUGCAACAAAUGAAAUAUCAGGAGCCUUGGAGAAUCAAGGACCCAGAACGUACACUACUUUGACAUCUGACAUAUCUGUUUUGAGUGCUGUGCUGAACUCCAGGGAUGGAGGCCUUUUUCCAUAAAGAA